rnacentral:rRNA from 1 species
AGAGUUUGAUCCUGGCUCAGGAUGAACGCUGGCGGCGUGCUUAACACAUGCAAGUCGAACGAUGACUUUUGUGCUUGCACAGAAUGAUUAGUGGCGAACGGGUGAGUAACACGUGAGUAACCUGCCCUUGACUUCGGGAUAAGCCUGGGAAACUGGGUCUAAUACCGGAUAUGCACCGUGGACCGCAUGGUUCUUGGUGGAAAGAUUUUUUGGUCAGGGAUGGACUCGCGGCCUAUCAGCUUGUUGGUGAGGUAAUGGCUCACCAAGGCGACGACGGGUAGCCGGCCUGAGAGGGUGACCGGCCACACUGGGACUGAGACACGGCCCAGACUCCUACGGGAGGCAGCAGUGGGGAAUAUUGCACAAUGGGCGAAAGCCUGAUGCAGCGACGCCGCGUGAGGGAUGACGGCCUUCGGGUUGUAAACCACUUUCAGUAGGGAAGAAGCGAAAGGACGGACCUGCAGAAGAAGC